rnacentral:misc_RNA from 1 species
GUUUUAUAAUAUUUAUAAUGCAUUCAAAUACAUCAAUGGUUGUUUGUAAAGAGACAUAGGCAAAAUAAAUGCCUACAGAGUGUGCACAAAGGUGGAUAUUGGUUUUGUUAAGAGUGCACAUGCAAUAAAGCCAGCACAUCCUUUAAAAUCAAUAAUGAUCCUUCCGCAGGUUCACCUACGGAAA